UUAUGGGUGGGUGGUGGUGCAUGGCCGUUCUUAGUUGGUGGAGCAAUUUGUCUGGUUAAUUCCGAUAACGAACGAGACUCCGGCAUGCUAACUAGUUACGCUGCCCCGUGCGGUCGGCGUCAACUUCUUAGAGGGACAAGUGGCGUUCAGCCACACGAGAUUGAGCAAUAACAAGAUGGGAAGAGCACAUGUCUGAA